CCUACGGGUGGCAGCAGUGAGGAAUAUUGGUCAAUGGACGCGAGUCUGAACCAGCCAAGUAGCGUGAAGGAUGACUGCCCUAUGGGUUGUAAACUUCUUUUAUAAAGGAAUAAAACGAGGCACGUGUGCCUUUUUGCAUGUACUUUAUGAAUAAGGAUCGGCUAACUCCGUGCCAGCAGCCGCGGUAAUACGGAGGAUCCGAGCGUUAUCCUGAUUUAUUGGGUUUAAAGGGUGCGUCGGCGGACGCUUAAGUCAGCGGGAAAAUUGCGGGGCUAAACCUCGUCGAGCCGUUGAACCUGGGUGCCGUGAGUGUGGGAGAGGGACGCGGAAUGCGAGGUGUAGCGGUGAAAUGCAUAGAGAUCACGAAGAACUCCGAUGGCGAAGGCAGCGUACCGG
rnacentral:rRNA from 1 species